UAUAACGAAGAGCACUUUUUAAAAGUGUACUUAAGUGUAUUAAGAAACAGUAAUGAAAUUCUCUCUCUUUAAGUGCACUUAAGUGAACUAUUAUUUCAUUAAUAUUAUAUUAUCUGCAGGUACAGUUUUUUGAGAUUACUUUAAAUAUUUAAAUAAAACAAGAAGUGCACAUUCAAUACAUUUAAACACUUUUUUCAUAAGGAUUGAACUAAAUGAGUGAACUGAUAAGUGAGGAGCAAUUCAGAUGCAGGUGGCAUUUCUAAAAACCUAAUUCUUGAACGUAUUUGAUUGGAGAAAGUUUACCUUUAACAUUAAAAAUGUUGUGAAUCGUGUCCACUUUUAGAAUUGCACUUGCAUUUAGAUGAUCUUCAAGCUAAUAGACAGAAACCUUGGAUGGAAACAGCUUUUGGCUUGUGCUAUAAUGGUUACACCAGUCAAAGAAAAGCCAAAUAACCUUUUAACACGUUACUCUGAAACUCGAAGACAUUAACAUGUCAUCUGAGAUGCCUGAGUCUCCCAGCAAUGGAAAGGUGGAACCAGGCAGCCUCUAAUUGCUCUGCGUUACUGCCAAUCCAAUGCAGACGAACCCCGAGUGGAGUUGUGCGUCACCUCGAUCCCAGGGCCCCUCGAAGGAGAAACCGGCUGCAACAGGAGAGGCCGGCUUCCUCUGUAAUCUCGGCUAGCUUGCUCUGUGGUUGUCAUACAAUCCCACAGGUCACGGCUGGGGCAGGGCAGGGUGUCACGAGGCCGUUCCCCAUGGCCACUGGCUGUUUUAAGUGACAGGCCAUCAGCGCUGAGGUCACUGGGUGAAAUGAGAGGUGCAACCAAGGCUGAGUGUAAGACUUCACAGAAAGCCACACAAUGAUCCCAGUGCAGUGUGAGGGGAAUAAGAUACAUUGAGAUGGACUCGUAACGUGACAUAUUCGAAAAGAGUGGCAUUAAACCAGAUUUACAUUGAGUGCUUUGAGAACAUCUGAGUGGUGCUUGAACGUGUGAAACUCAUCAGCAUGACUCCUUGAUGUACUUAUUACUGAAAUAAUAUACUUUAAAAGAUAACACUCAAG
ensembl:lncRNA